GUGUGCAUUUUUUUGUCAGUUUUCCAGUGUCACGUGUUUGUUGCAGCUCGAAAUGAAACUUAGAUGUUCACUUGUGUUAGAUCUGAAUGUAUGUGGGAAGUAGCACUCGAAUUUGUUGGCUACAGUCUGAAUCAGUUCAUUCAAACACCGCCAUAGUUGAAUUUUAAUCAUCUGAAAUUGAGGGAUAUUCUACUUCACAACAUCGUUCUUAGCUGUAUGUCUUUGUCCAAUUCAUAUUAAAGGUGUCGUACCAUUUUGUUACCCAUGAAUCAUAAUACAAAUUUUAUUAGAUUACAGACCAGGUAUCCUUUGUAUGAAUUGGCCAAUCUCGGUACUGGAAUCAUGGAAUCAAAUGAUUCCAGCCGAUUAAUGGAACUGGAUACAUACAGUUUAUAAUUGGUAAGGUCCAAGAAUCUAUAUUUCAUUGCCCAAAGAUCGAUGUUUCUAUUCUCUGUAUCUUCAACCGAUAAGUACAGGUCCUCUCCCAAGACACCCACUUCCAUUGUAAGUCAGUUCGAUUUAUCAUCAAGAUAGCAACUGGCCGGUACAUGGAUCUCGUUUCUUUAAUCAAGCAAACUAUAACUUUUGUUUCUUUAAUCUAGUGAAGGAUUCUGCCAUCUAAAGGCUUCUCGGAAACAGAAGUACAAUGACAUCCAUCUAAAGGCUUCAUGGAUUCCACAAACGAAUAUUGCCUGAAUACCUUGCAUGAAAGAGUAAACUUUCAAAACUACCCUUUCCCCGAGAUUUCAUUUUACUUGCCAUACUCGCAUUUCGUUAACUUCUGUAUCUCUUAAUUCUCGUUUUUUACGCAAAACCACUCCCAGUCCCACCACCAUCGAUCCACCACCAUCACCGACAAAAAAGGAUUCGUUUUCUCCCACAGAACCACUCCCACCAUCACCGAUAAAUCUUUUAUCUCUACUUCUCAUUUCAUUUUCUUCUACAAAACCACCCUACCACUAUCGAUCCCCCCACCCACACCAUUUUUGAUAGAACAUCUUCAUUAAAGCUGAAGAAGAUCAGAGAUAAGUAAAGGGUCUUGUUUGGAUUGAAGAAUUGAAUCAAUCGAUAACAUUUUGAUUUCCAAUUUGUAGAAGAAAGUGGGGAAGUAAAAGAGUUUUCCCCAAAAAGAAACCCCACUUCUAAGGUAUUGUUUGCUAAUUAAGCUUACAAAAAAAAUGAUGGUAUAAUGACAGGUAGUAAACCAUGGGAUUGACACAGAUUUGUUAAGGGUUAUAGAGGAAGUGGCUAUGGAGUUCCUCAUGUUACCUUUGGAGGAAAAAAAUGAGUAUCCAAUGUUGCAUGGGACUGUUCAAGGGUUAGAGGUACUAUGUGCAUCUUACAGGCAUAAGUGAAACAGUCGAGAGUAUAUUGAAACUUAACGAUGGCAAUGAGGAGCCUAAUGCUGAAACAGUUCUUGAUGUUCCAUUAGGGGGUCACUGAAUACUGUUAUGUUGAAUCAGAACAAUACCGCUUACACUGUGCAGCUAGAGAAUGGAGAGAUUAAGAUUGUGCAAUUGUGUACUUGUCGUGGAGGAGCUUUGAUAAGCAAAUCACUAUUUCCUUAAGCAAUUAGCAUAUUGGGAUUUUUUAUGCAUCGCACUUUUCCACUCUCAGUCAAAGUUCAGUAUCUUUCUUCAACAUCGAGAAACCAGAAACCGCUGUUUCACGACGGGCAUGGGCAAGGCUGCCAAAUACUGCUCCCUUGACCAACCAUACAAAGUAUUUUGGUUGUAUUUUCUUUUUUCUGUGGCGGGCUCGAUUGUUGAAUUUUGCGGUUAGAUUCUUGCCCUUUCACAGAUCAUACUUUUGAUCCUUUUCGAUAUACUCCAAAGUUUUAAAAAUCCAGUUCUGCUGAAAGAAUCACCUAUACAUCACUGUAAUGUUAAGGUUUCGAGUUUGUGUUUUAUCAUGGGUUGUAUUUAGAGAAGUUUUUGAAGGGUAAAUGCCUAAAUGGAAUAAAGAAGAAUGUGUUUCAGAGUGGGAAAAAACACAGCACGUCUCUCUGAACAUCUGGAGGUGAAACAACUUUGGAAGAAGAAGCUGAUGCUGGGUUUCCAACUUCUACUGAAUCAAGGUUGGUAAUGUUGAUUUGAGAUGUUGUUUUCGUUUCCAUCGUGUAUACGAACUACGAACAUCAGUAUUGGUUGACAAUUGUGUAUAUAGAAAGAAUGUCGUAAUAAAUGAUGGUUUCAAUCA